rnacentral:rRNA from 1 species
CCCUAACUCGCAGCCAGCUACCGUGUGAAUACGGAGGGUGCGAGCGUUAAUCGGAAUUACGGGUGGGAAAGCGCACGUAGGUGGGUUGGUAAGUUGGAUGUGCAAUCCCCGGGCUUAACUUGGGAAUUGCAUUCAAGACUGCCUUGCUAGAGUGUGGAAGAGGGAAGCGGAAUUCCAGGUGUAGCGGUGAAAUGCGUAGAUAUCUGGAGGAACAUCAGUGGCGAAGGCGGCUUCCUGGUCCAACACUGACACUGAGGUGCGAAAGCGUGGGGAGCAAACAGGAUUAGAUACCCCAGUAGUC